UUAAGCUACAAAGAGCGUAGGGAGAAUGCCUAGGUACCAAGAGCCGAAGAAGGACGUGAUAAGCUGCGAAAAGCCACGGGGAGGAGCAAAUAUCCAUCGAGCCGUGGGUGUCCGAAUGAGGGAACUCAUACAGUAAAAAAAGACUGUAUAUCCAUACAUGAGUAAAGUAGUGUAUAGGAAGGGAACGUGGGGAACUGAAACAUCUUAGUACCUAUAGGAAAAGAAAGUAACAACGAUUCCUGAAGUAGUGGCGAGCGAAACAGGAAGAGCCCAAACCAUGGAUAGUAAUAUUUGUGGGGUUCGGAUUAUCAAUAAAGCCAAGAAUGAUGUUAGUAGAAUUACCAGGGAAGGUAAACCAAAGAAGGUGAAAGUCCUGUAUAUGAAAACAGAGUGAAGGCGAGAUAAAUCCAGAGUAGUGCGAGACACGAGAAAUCUCGUAUGAAAGAGCGGAGACCAUUCCGUAAGGCUAAAUACUACUUGGUAACCGAUAGAGAACAAGUACCGUGAGGGAACGGUGAAAAGGACCCCGGGAGGGGAGUGAAAGAGAACCUGAAACCCUAUGUUUACAAGCAGAUAGAGCGAUUUAAGGCGCGAUAUCGUACUUUUUGUAGAACGGUCCAGCGAGUUAUUGUAUAUGGCGAGGUUAAGUUCUGAAUAAGGAAUGGAGCCGAAGAGAAAUCGAGUCUGAAAAGGGCGAUAUAAGUCAUAUAUAAUAGACCCGAAACCGGGUGACCUAUCCAUGGUCAGGAUGAAGCUGAAGUAAAAUUCAGUGGAGGUCCGAACUGAUUGUCGUUAAAAAGGCACCGGAUGAACUGUGGAUAGCGGAGAAAUUCCAAUCGAACUCGGAGAUAGCUGGUUCUCCUCGAAAUAGCUUUAGGGCUAGCCUUGAGGUCAAAGAAUUAUGGGGGUAGAGCACUGAAUGAGGUAGGGGCCAAACCAGGUUACCAAACUCUAUCAAACUACGAAUACCAUAAUUAGAAUACUCAGGAGUCAGACUGCGGGAGCUAAGUUCCGUGGUCAAAAGGGAAAGAGCCCAGACCGACAAUUAAGGUCCCAAAGAUAUAGUUAAGUGGAAAACGAUGUGAAUUUGCAUAAACAACCAGGAUGUUGGCUCAGAAGCAGCCACUCAUUCAAAGAGUGCGUAACAGCUCACUGGUCGAGUGAAUUUGCGCGGAAAAUUACCGGGGCUAAACUAUACACCGAAAUUUCGGAUUUAGGAACAAUGUUCCUAAGUGGUAGAGGAGCAUUCUGUAGUAGGAAGAAGUCAAAGCGAGAGCAUUGGUGGACGAAGCAGAAGAGAGAAUGCUGGAAUAAGUAGCGAGAGCAAGGUGAGAAUCCUUGCCGUCGAAAGUCUAAGGUUUCCUGGGGAAGGUUCGUCCGCCCAGGGUAAGUCGGGGCCUAAGGAGAGGCCGAAAGGCGUAUCUGAUGGAUAGCAGGUGGAGAUUCCUGCACUAUAGCUAGUUUUAAAAGAUGCAAGGGACGCAGUAGAGGAAGAUAACCGAGGAAGAGGAAAAACUUGGUCCGCAAGGGAUAGUGAAAAUUAAUAGUAACGAAAUAUCAAGAAUCACACUGACGAGAAAAGCUUGUAGAUAUUAACUAGAAAUACCCGUACCGCAAACCGACACAGGUAGAUGAGGAGAGGAUCCUAAGACGAGCGGGAGAAGCAUUGUUAAGGAACUCGGCAAAAUAACCCCGUAACUUCGGGAGAAGGGGAGCCUAAGUAAAAUUAGGUCGCAGAGAAAAGGCCCAAGCAACUGUUUAACAAAAACACAGGUUUCUGCAAAAUCGAAAGAUGAAGUAUAGGAGCUGACGCCUGCCCAGUGCUGGAAGGUUAAGGGAAAGAGUUAGGUGUAAACCGAAGCUUAGAACUAAAGCCCCAGUGAACGGCGGCCGUAACUAUAACGGUCCUAAGGUAGCGAAAUUCCUUGUCAGGUAAG
rnacentral:rRNA from 1 species